CUAUUAAAAUGCAGAAUGAAACAUGAAUAGUUUACAGUUUACAAGAAUCUGAAAAUCAAAAAGUUAUUCUUAUAGAAUACAAACUAGGAAAACAAUUGAUAGCAAACUAGGAAUUACCGAGUAUGAUUAUUACAAACUAGGAAAAACAGUUUAGACAGAAUUUAAUAACUAUUCAAUCGUUCGGAGAAGCUCAAUUGAGCGAAAGUGACGAUUGAAUCAAAAGACAGAGCAAAAAUGAAUUUAAAAGUACCUGAAAAUAUUGAAAGAUUACUAUGAUUAGAAAAAGAUUACCAAAGAGAGAAAUGAAGGAAUCAAAUUGCUAAGAGCGUACGAACUGGAAAUGAUCAAAUUGAUUAAAAACUCACAAUUUGAAAAACCGGAAUUGAAUGAAUUCCUUGAUUGCAGUAGUUGAUUAUAUACUUCAUUGUAUCUAAAAAAUCAGUUGAAGUCAAUAACUGUUUAACUGAUAUUUUU
rnacentral:lncRNA from 1 species